UCCUCCUUACGAAGGCAGUCGAAUGUGAAAAUUACAACACAUCCCGAGUGUUGCGCUCGUUUAGGGACUUAACCCGACAUCUCACGACACGAGCUGACGACAACCAUGCAGCGCCUGUUACUACUUUCCCUUUCGGGCACCUCCCUGUUUCCAGGGCAUUAGUAGAAUGUCAAACCUUGGUAAGGUUUUUCGCUUACCAUCGAAUUAAACCACAUGCUCCACCGCUUGUGUGGAUCCCCGUCAAUUUCUUUGAGUUUCAAACUUGCGUUCGUACUCCCCAGGUGGGAUACUUAUCACUUUCGCUUAGCCACUGAGAUCGCUCCCAACAGCUAGUAUCCAUCGUUUACGGCGUGGACUAC
rnacentral:misc_RNA from 1 species